rnacentral:rRNA from 1 species
UAGGGAAUCUUCCGCAAUGGACUCAAGUCUGACGGAGCAACGCCGCGUGAGUGAAGAAGGAUUUCGGUUCGUAAAACUCUGUUGUUAGAGAAGAACAGCGCAUAGAGUAACUGUUAUGCGUGUGACGGUAUCUAACCAGAAAGCCACGGCUAACUACGUGCCAGCAGCCGCGGUAAUACGUAGGUGGCAAGCGUUGUCCGGAUUUAUUGGGCGUAAAGCGAGCGCAGGCGGUCAAUUAAGUCUGAUGUGAAAGCCCCCGGCUCAACCGGGGAGGGUCAUUGGAAACUGGUUGACUUGAGUGCAGAAGAGGAGAGUGGAAUUCCAUGUGUAGCGGUGAAAUGCGUAGAUAUAUGGAGGAACACCAGUGGCGAAGGCGACUCUCUGGUCUGUAACUGACGCUGAGGCUCGAAAGCGUGGGUAGCAAACAGG